UACAGAGGGUGCGAGCGUUGUCCGGAAUCACUGGGCGUAAAGGGCGCGUAGGUGGCGGCCCAAGUCCAUGGUGAAAGCUCGAUGCUCAACAUCGAGUCGGCCACGGAUACUGGGUUGCUCGAGCACUGUAGGGGUAGAUGGAAUUCCGGGUGUAGCGGUGGAAUGCGUAGAGAUCCGGAAGAACACCGGUGGCGAAGGCGGUCUGCUGGGCAGUUGCUGACACUGAGGCGCGACAGCGUGGGGAGCAAACAGG
rnacentral:rRNA from 1 species